CAUUUCCCUACAUCAGGAUAACCUCCACAAAGUUGAUGGGACUGAAGGCUUGUCAUGAUCGUAAUAUCACCCACCGGGAUAUCAAACCUGAGAACAUGAUCAUUUGCUUUGAGGACAUCGAGACUGGAAAGUGUCUAAGAGAGGUUCCAUCUGAAGCAAAGCAAAAUAAGCUGAACAUGCGUCUGAUUGACUUCGGCAGUGCCAUUGAUGAUUAGACGUUGAAGAAUCUUUAUGGUCCAGGGCCUACUCGGUGUG